ACUCAAAUGAAUUGACGGGGGCCCGCACAAGCGGUGGAGCAUGUGGUUUAAUACGUCACAAACCGUAGAACCUUACCAAGGCUUGACAUCCUCUGCACCAGUGUGAAAGCACUGUCCGAGCAAUCGGCGGAGAGACAGGUGUUGCAUGGCUGUCGUCAGCUCGUGUCGUGAGAUGUUGGGUUAAGUCCCGCAACGAGCGCAACCCUCAUCCCCUGUUGCCAGCGCGUAAAGGCGGGAACUCUGGGGAAACUGCCGGUGCAAGCCGGAGGAAGGUGAGGACGACGUCAAGUCAGCAUGGCCCUUACGCCUUGGGCUACACACAUGCUACAAUGGACGGUACACAGAGGGAACCGAUGGCGCGAGCCGGGGGCAAUCUCAGAAAUCCGUUCUCAGUUCGGAUUGCAGGCUGCAACUCGCCUGCAUGAAGCCGGAAUCGCUAGUAAACGCAGGUCAGCGAAACUGCGUUGAAUUCGUUCCCGGGCCUUGCACACACCGCCCGU
rnacentral:rRNA from 1 species